AGAGUUUGAUCCUGGCUCAGGACGAACGCUGGCGGCGUGCCUAAUACAUGCAAGUCGAGCGGACCCUUCGGGGUCAGCGGCGGACGGGUGAGUAACACGUGGGUAAUCUGCCCAACUGACUGGAAUAACGCCUGGAAACGGGUGCUAAUGCCGGAUAGGCAGCGAGGAGGCAUCUCCUUGCUGGGAAAGGUGCAACUGCACCGCAGAUGGAGGAGCCCGCGGCGCAUUAGCUAGUUGGUGGGGUAACGGCCUACCAAGGCGACGAUGCGUAGCCGACCUGAGAGGGUGGACGGCCACACUGGGACUGAGACACGGCCCAGACUCCUACGGGAGGCAGCAGUAGGGAAUCUUCCGCAAUGGGCGCAAGCCUGACGGAGCAACGCCGCGUGAGCGAAGAAGGCCUUCGGGUUGUAAAGCUCAGUCACUCGGGAAGAGCGGACGGAGGAGUGGAAAGCCUUCGUCGAGACGGUACCGAGAGAGGAAGCCCCGGCUAACUACGUGCCAGCAGCCGCGGUAAUACGUAGGGGGCAAGCGUUGUCCGGAAUCACUGGGCGUAAAGCGUGCGUAGGCGGUCGCGUGUGUCUGGGGUGAAAGUCCAGGGCUCAACUCUGGGAUUGCCUUGGAAACUGCGCGACUUGAGUACUGGAGAGGCAAGGGGAAUUCCGCGUGUAGCGGU
rnacentral:rRNA from 1 species